CCCCCUGGGCUCAGAUAAGAGCUAGGCACUGAGGGGAAAGCAUUUAUUGAACCUGGACCUAGGCUGCUUCCUGAGGAGUACUGUGUAACCAGAGGGCCCCUCCAUCAUCUGGAGACAGUUUCCAUGAAUCUUACUCAGCUGAGAACUGCCAGAAUGGCCAGAAAUUGUGCUAUGUUGCAGAGAAUGUGGGGUGGAAUAGGGAGUGAUGCUCACAGAUACAGGCAGUUCUCUGGGGAAUAGAAAUGUGAAAUUGCCAGUUGGAUUCUGAAUACUUCUGAAAGAGAUUGCAGAAUAAUAUUCAUCUACAAAGAACAUCGUUGUCGCUGAAUCUGACUGAGGGAAUGAGACAAUACUGACUGAAACAGGAAAAACAGCUGAUGGAUUUCUAGCCAAAGAGCUGUGCUAUUUGUCUGGUUGCAUCUGCACUGUAGGUGGGGGCAGUCCUUGUAGUGGAGCUGAAUCACAACUGUUUAUAAAUUCAAUACCCAUCCAGCAGCUGGAAUUUAAGAGCUAGUCUAAAAUCUUCAAUUUUAUCUACGGUUCAUUUUAGUUAUUUUAGAACGAAAAAGAACAACCGCAGCUCUUAGAUAUUGGCUGCUUCACAGAGAAAUGGUUCUUUCCUGUAAAGGAGAUAAGACAUCUCCCCAAGCCCACUGGAAUACAUCUUCUGCUCCUUAACAACGCUAUGCCAUCGUUAUCCUUUAUUUCCCAUUUUGCCUAGAAAUGCAUCUGUAUUUUUUUUAUUGUUACUAAAAAAAGAAUGUCAUAUGCUGUAACAUUAAAAUAUUAGUAAUAAUUUGAAAUAAAAUGACUUGGUGGUAUAUUACAGUGAAUGCGUUUAAGACAGCACUCUUGCUUUGUAAUUUUGUUUCAUUGGCUCAAAAACUAGCAGCUGGAAAGGCUGAGAUGAUAGGGAAGUUCUGAUAAAACCAUCAUUGAUUUCAGUAGGACUGGGGUGUCACUUCUAGAAAUAAUUUGGUUGUAAUUGUUAAAAUGGGGUGAACACAUAACAUUCUCCACUGAGUAUAGAACUUUUAUUUAUUUAUUGUUUUUAGAGCUUUGAUUGGAAGUUUAUGAUAUUCUGAGAAAUACGUGGCAUUAGUUUUGUUUCAGAGCAAUCUGCUUGCUAAGUAGCUGCUGUCUGGUUUGUGCAGGAUUUCUGCUUCCUAAAGUUAUCCCAUUAGCUUAACUGUUAUCCCAUCAGAAGGAAAAGAAGGGCAGUUAUUGUAAGAAGCUGUACAGAUGCUUUAUCUCACUUUAGCCAAGAAAGCAGUAUUGAGUGAGAAUGGGAGCAAAAUCCCUGAGAAUACAUAGCAGCUAUUUCUGUAUGCUGUCCCUAGGGGCAGAAGCCUUUAUCCAUUUCAAGUCCUUUUAACUCUCUCCUGUAGGCCACGUUUACCUUGUGAAAGAAUUUAGUAAUUACUUGUGUCACCAGCUUUAUGUGCUUCAAAGUGAAGAUAUAUGAUUUUACAAGAGACAUUAAAAUCUCAGUUGCAUGUGCUGAUGAUUUCUGUGGCUGAUGCCUUCCAUCUUGUCCUGCCCACUCCCGUACCUCUGUCAUCGCUGCUGGUGCUUUCCCAGGCAGUGCUACUGUGGCACUUCUGUUAUGGUUAA